rnacentral:rRNA from 1 species
CUACCCUUGACAUGGACGGAGCCUGGCUGAAAGGUCGGGGUGCUCGAAAGAGAACCGUCACACAGGUGCUGCAUGGCUGUCGUCAGCUCGUGUCGUGAGAUGUUGGGUUAAGUCCCGCAACGAGCGCAACCCUUGUCCCUAGUUGCUACGCAAGAGCACUCUAGGGAGACUGCCGGUGACAAACCGGAGGAAGGUGGGGAUGACGUCAAGUCCUCAUGGCCCUUAUGGGUAGGGCUUCACACGUCAUACAAUGGUCGGAACAGAGGGCUGCCAACCCGUGAGGGGGAGCCAAUCCCAGAAAACCGAUCGUAGUCCGGAUCGCACUCUGCAACUCGAGUGCGUGAAGCUGGAAUCGCUAGUAAUCGCGGAUCAGCAUGCCGCGGUGAAUACGUUCCC